GACGAACGCUGGCGGCGUGCUUAACACAUGCAAGUCGAGCGGUAAGGCCCCUCCGGGGGCACACGAGCGGCGAACGGGUGAGUAACACGUGAGCAACCUGCCCCUGACUCCGGGAUAAGCGGUGGAAACGCCGUCUAAUACCGGAUACGACCCUCCGGCUCAUGCCGUGGGGGUGGAAAGUUUCUUCGGUUGGGGAUGGGCUCGCGGCCUAUCAGCUUGUUGGUGGGGUAAAAGCCUACCAAGGAGAUUACGGGGAGCCGGCCUGAGAGGGCGACCGGCCACACUGAGACUGGGACACGGCCCAGACUCCUGCGGGAGGCAGCAGUGGGGAAUCUUGCGCAAUGGGCGAAAGCCUGACGCAGCGGCGCCGCGUGGGGGAUGACGGCCUUCGGGUUGUAAACUCCUUUUACCACUCACGCGGGCCCGGAGUGUUCUUCGGGUUGACGGUAGGUGGGGAAUAAGGACCGGCUAACUACGUGCCAGCCGCCGCAGUAA
rnacentral:rRNA from 1 species